AAAUCAGCUUAGAAAACAAACACAGAACAACUUCAAUCAUCUAACGUACCCUGAACUGAGGUACACUGGACCUACCAUGUGAAUCUCCACUUCGGGUGAGCAGCCACGUAGAUGAGCAGAGAGAUGAAGAUCAGGAGAAUAUCCAAACAACUACCGUUACCAAGGAGAAAAGACUUCACAUUUCAAAGAGCUGCAGUGGUUUCAUACCGUGCUGACGUCGAGCGGCAGAAUGAAGACGAUGAGGAAGCAGAGGUACCAGGACAGCAGCGUCCCUAACAGGACCAUCCGCUGCUGUUUCCGCAGAUCUCCAUAGCGCUGGAGGAGGUAGAGGGCCAAGAGGAAGACUACUACGACCACAACAGCCAGCGCAGCACCACUCAUGGCGAUGAAUGAAGAGACGGACGUCAGGAACUCAUGAUGACACACUGGAGGGGGAAAAGAGAAAGAAACAAACUGAUUGGAUAUCAGCUCUUAUCUGCUGGAUAACAGGGAGAAACAGUAUGACCUGAACACUCACUACAUGAUACAGCGAUAUGAGUUAAGGAGUUGAGGAGGGAGAGAGCAGGAGGACAUGAAAGAACAAAUGAGGGAAACAUUUAAAAUUAAAGACAAGACAUUAAACGAGACAGAUGUAGAAAAAUUAAAGGGUAUAAAUAAAAAAAAUUAAAGGA